rnacentral:lncRNA from 1 species
AAAAAGUCCUUAACCAACAGUCACUGAAGACAUGUCCUUUUUUGGUAAGAAAAUGCAUAAAAGAAUAUCUAACAUCAAAAUUCAUAGAUAGAACUCCUUCAUGAAAUCUACAGUUUCCCAUGUAACUGCAGAACAAAAAAUUGGAUGAUUAACUGAUGAGAUUGGAUAAAGAGAAAAAAGCAAAUAUUAUAACACCUCUUUUUUUUAUUCUCAACUAUAGGUAUGUUGCCCUAGGGCAU